rnacentral:rRNA from 1 species
GAUGAACGCUGGCGGCGUGCUUAACACAUGCAAGUCGAACGAAGCACUUUAUUUGAUUUCCUUCGGAACUGAUUAUUUUGUGACUGAGUGGCGGACGGGUGAGUAACGCGUGGGUAACCUGCCUUGUACAGGGGGAUAACAGUUGGAAACGGCUGCUAAUACCGCAUAAGCGCACAGCAUCGCAUGAUGCAGUGUGAAAAACUCCGGUGGUAUAAGAUGGACCCGCGUUGGAUUAGCUAGUUGGUGAGGUAACGGCCCACCAAGGCGACGAUCCAUAGCCGACCUGAUAGGGUGACCGGCCACAUUGGGACUGAGACACGGCCCAAACUCCUACGGGAGGCAGCAGUGGGGAAUAUUGCACAAUGGGCGAAAGCCUGAUGCAGCGACGCCGCGUGAGCGAAGAAGUAUUUCGGUAUGUAAAGCUCUAUCAGCAGGGAAGAUAAUGACGUUACCUGACUAAGAAGCACCGGCUAAAUACGUG